GCUGGGCGUGGUGGCUCACGCCUGUAAUCCCAGCAUUUUGGGAGGCUGAGGCAAGCGGAUCACCUGAGGUCAGGAGUUCGAGACCAGCCUGGCCAACAUGGUGAAACCCUGUCUCUA
rnacentral:SRP_RNA from 1 species